AUGAACGCUGGCGGCGUGCUUAACACAUGCAAGUCGAACGCUCCUAGAGGUUGGAGUUUAUCUUCAACCUCCAGAAGAGUGGCGCACGGGUGAGUAACACGUGGGCAAUCUACCCGGAAGUCUGGGAUAACAGUGCGAAAGCGCUGCUAAUACCGGAUAUUUUCACGAAGUCGCAUGACUUUGUGCAGAAAGUUUUUCGCUUCCGGAUGAGCCCGCGUCCCAUUAGCUAGUUGGUGAGGUAACGGCUCACCAAGGCUACGAUGGGUAGCUGGUCUGAGAGGACGAUCAGCCACACUGGAACUGAGACACGGUCCAGACUCCUACGGGAGGCAGCAGUGGGGAAUCUUGCGCAAUGGGCGGAAGCCUGACGCAGCAACGCCGCG
rnacentral:rRNA from 1 species